UAAAGAUAAAAUAGUUUAAAUAUAGUUAUAUAUCACAUAAAAUAUCUUACAAGGAAUGUAUUAAAUUAUAGCUAGUCUCAUCUGUGUCAUUUCGCUCUCUAUAUUUAGCUGGCGAGAUAGCUAAAAGUCAUAAUAGCUAAACUUUAGCUAGUCUGCUGGAGCUCCAAAAAAUAAUAAAAAAAAAAAAAAAAAAACUAAACAUGCUAUCUAAAAUAGAGAGUCUGCUAAAGUUGCUCUUAGAGGAGAGAAAGGUUGGUGUGUGAAAAUUCUUGUACCCACUAUGGCAAGUGAACCGAACACUUAUUAUGUAAUUUCGGUCUUUUAUUUUGAUCUAGUCAUCAUAUGUGUGACACUAUCAUGUGUGUGUAUGUGUGUGUGUAUAUAUAUAUAUAGAUAUGCAAACGCCAUUAACAAAAUUGAAAUUCAAAAAACUAGUUCAAAUGUACGUUUCAAACACAAGAUGUGAGGAUCCGAAAUUUAAGCUAUGAAUGCUUAACCUAAUCUGAUCAAAAAAUGAAAAUGCCAUAUGUUGAGAUAUAAAUCCCACAUCGGGAAAAAUGGACCUUACUUAUGGUUUAUAAGAGUUUGGGCCACUUCACCCAUCACUAAUUGGUUUUGAAUGUGAACCCUAGACUACUUUCCAAAACCAAUUGGCGCCCCCGCACGUGUGGUGAAUUUUCAAGCCUAACACGUGAACAACAUUUGGGGUGACGUGAAGUUUGUGUGGCCGUUAUGCAUUCACACGUGAACGUGGGUAACCCGCUCUGAUACCAUAAAAGAUAGAUAGUUUGGCUAGGAUAAAAAUUAGGGCUGGGCACGGGACGGGAUGGGCCGGGAUUUGGUGAAUCCCGUCCCGUCCCGAAAAUAAAAAACGGGCCUGGACGGGAUGGGAAUGUGUUUUUAAAAAUCUAUCUCGUACGUCCCGAUCCCGACAAAUUAACCCUCAAACAACAUUAAUGAAAUUAAUGAAAAAAAAAUAUCUAAAAUCACACAAGCAAAAAAAAAGAACAUUGAUGAAAUUAAAAGUACUAAAAUCAACAAGAACAUAGGUGCAUAGGUGCUAAAUUACAUCCCACUUUAAAAGUGCUAAACAUCCCAUAUUAAAUAUUAACCUUCAAACAACAACUAAAAAUAUCCAAAAUCACACAAGCAAAAAAAAAAAAAACAGGAAUGAAAUUAAAAGUAUAGUUUUAGACCAAAUUGAGUGUGGUUGAGUGCAUUGUAACACCAUGCAACCUAAAAAAUCAAGUAUAAAAUGAUUAAAAUCAAGUAUUCUAAUAUUACGGGACGGGAUUGCCAUUUUCAAAACAUAUCCCGUCCCGUCCCGCUAACUUUCAGGACGGGACCGGUACGGGAUCAGGAUUCCGGUACUAAGUACCCAGCCCUAAUAAAAAUUCUAUUGAUACUUGACUGAUUACAUAUACAAUUAAGGACUAUAAUAGGAAACAAUCUUUAUAACAUCUACAAUUAAGGACUACAUAGGAAACAAUCUUUACAACAUCUACAAUUAAGGACUACAAUAGGAAAUAUGAUCACAAAGAAUUACAUUCAUAAUAUGAAAGAUACACAAGAUCAACUUUCUAAUACCAUAGGAAGAAAUUGAGGUCCUUAUUCUAUCUUUACAUCUCCAAUCGGGUGAUUUGCAUAUUGAUGGUGCGUGAAAUCCGCUCCUUACGAAUUAAGAAACGGAGAAGCCGGAGUUGAAGGUCAACUUUGAGGAUUCGAGCCAAUUUCAGACGCAAAUUACAAGUGCAGAGCUCACUUACUCAACACCUUCACCCGUGACGCAAUGAAAGCUAGUUUAGAAGGUAAAUCAGUUUGUGAUGGAUCAUGUUGAUGAUUUUGAUUAAGAAAAAAAUGAUGACUCAAUGAGCACUUCUAGACUUCAACCCUUGGACCCAUCUAGGUAAAUUAUCUAAAUUGUUAGCAUCAAAUACCUAAACCCCCGCCCAAUAUCCAUUUCCCUUUUAAAAUAACUAAUCAGUUUAACUGAGCAUGCAGAUUCCUGAAGUAUAUAUGAUUAUAUGACCCUAUUUGGCAACACGGUUCUUUGUUUCGUAGCUUGAUUCUCGUUGUUUAAUUAGCUCAUUACAUGUGUAGACAAAAUUGCAAAGGGGAUUGCAAAGAUAGAAUUUCUUGUCAUGCGGGAGAAAGAUUCAUGAUCUAGAGGUUUUGAUCAUAAUAUUCGUCCAUUAAUUUGAGAUAAGCAACCAAAUUAGUGGAAAUUUC
rnacentral:lncRNA from 1 species